CCCUGGAGACCCCAGGAGCCCGCACAUCCUAAAGGAGCCGAGACAGCAGCGGAGAGCAGCAGCAGGCUGGCGCCAGGCGCGGCCCUGUGCGCUCUUCCGGGGCUGGAGGCUCGCUCGUCCCGCUGUGUCUACCCCGUGGCCCCUUCGGGGACCUCUGAUUCCCAGCAGAGGCUGGACACGGGGCUCCGGGUUCACCCCAGCCGCGGCUCCUCCCCGGGCAGAACUGCCUGCGGCAGCCAGCCAGCGGCGCCACCUUCCCGCGGCCCGGGAGGCCCUGCCCCGCGACACCGCGGCCCUCGGGCGCCCACGCCUCCCCUUCGGGAGCAGGGACCGCCCCGCGCCGUCCAGGAGGCGCCGAACCCGUGUCGGGGGGAGCACACACCGAGGGCGCCCUGCGGCCCGCGCCCGCCGGAGCCCGGCGGAGCAGUGAUCUCUGCUUGACCUGGGGGUCCUCAAACGGAUGCCAGCCAGCCCCGGGGCGCGCCUCGGCUCGGGCGGGGCCUGCGCGUGGGCGUAAAUGUUCACGUAUUUGUAUCUAUAUGUGCAUAUAUAGUCUCGCUCUGCCUCGGUUCUUGGCGUCGCUGUAGCUCCUGCGUUGACACCCGCUGCUGCUUUGGGCCUAACAGAGGCCUAGCAUUUCAGACGCCAUCUUAACCUCCAGUUUUCGGGCCCUGCUUUCCGAGGACUUUGUCUUGUCACCCGGACGCUCGGUGAAGGGCCCCAGAGGCGAUCAGGUGAACGGCCAGUUACAGACGCUCCGUCCCGCUAGCCAAAAGGACGCCCCGCUGCUUCCUACCCCUGGGGACUUGGUGGCGUUUCGCUACCUGGGCGUUCCCUGGCUGCAAGGUGUUGCCUCCAGCUGGCUUUGAUAUCCGGCUGCCAGUGGUUCCAGUUUUCCUCAUAAAAAUCUGUUUUAGGAGCAGGCCGACCCCGUAGCCUGGCUGCUGAGCGCGGACUGUGGCCUUGACUGUCAGUUCCUGUUGAGCGUCCGAUGAUCAUCUGUUGGCCCCAGUCUAGGGUCCGAGUGACCGGUGAGUGGCUGCUCCAGAAGCUGCAGCAUCACCACCUCCUCCUGGAGCCCCUCGUCCCCAGCCUCCUCCCUGCCUUCUGACACCCACACAGGGGAGCUGGGCGGCCUCGUGACGUACUUCUUACUUGUUUACUCUUCCCGUGUAAACACACAGAUGAUGCAAGGCCUCUUCUGCUGACCAGCACCGCUGACCUGGGCCCCUCCUGGCGGGGUCAGCCCUGCUCGGCUGCGGCUGGUGGGGGGUAGAGGGGGGCUGGCAGAAGCUGGGAAAAGGCGAGGGGGUUGGAGUCGUGAAAAGAAGGCAGGAGAGAAACGAGGUCAGAGGCAAGGGGCGGGUCCAGAGGCCAAACUGUGUCCAGCUCGGGAGAAGGAGAGAAAGACAGCAGAGGGAGACGAGGCCCCGAAGUGUAAGUAAGAUAAAGCAGUUAAAUAAAUAAAUAAAUAAAU